rnacentral:rRNA from 1 species
AGCGAACGCUGGCGGCAGGCCUAAUACAUGCAAGUCGAACGCCCCUUCGGGGGAGUGGCGGACGGGUGAGUAACGCGUGGGAACGUGCCCUUUGGUUCGGAACAACACAGGGAAACUUGUGCUAAUACCGAAUGUGCCCUUCGGGGGAAAGAUUUAUCGCCGUUGGAGCGGCCCGCGUUGGAUUAGCUAGUUGGUGGGGUAAAGGCCCACCAAGGCGACGAUCCAUAGCUGGUCUGAGAGGAUGAUCAGCCACACUGGGACUGAGACACGGCCCAGACACCUACGGGAGGCAGCAGUAGGGAAUCUUGCGCAAUGGGCGAAAGCCUGACGCAGCCAUGCCGCGUGUAUGAUGAAGGUCUUAGGAUUGUAAAAUUCUUUCACCGGGGAAGAUAAUGACGGUACCCGGAGAAGAAGCCCCGGCUAACUUCGUGCCAGCCGCCGCGGUAACAC